GUUCGCCGCUGCCUUAGAUGAACGGCGACAACGAACUCGAGCCCCAGCCAUCGUUGAAUCCAUCGACGCCCAACCUUGAGUUUUGAAGUCGCCAAGUUCCUAGUCAUCUAUAGUGCCAGAACAUUAGAGUUAGUGUGUGAUCGAAGUUUGGAUUGGAGAUUGGGUCGUUUCGAGUCGCCGUCAAGCAAGGAUUGUGAGCAAUUGGUGAGUUUAAUUGGGUUCUUAACACCCUUCGUUUUGGCGUGUAUCUACAGUCAAUUUCGUGUCUGAAACUUGAUUGUAGUUCGACUUGAGCAAACACUUCGAGUAAGUGUUUUGGAGGUAUUGAUGUGGAUUUUUUAUUUGGGUUAUAUUCUUAGUAUUGGAGUUUAAUUUUGAUUUUCACUUAGGGUUCGAUUCAAAAUUCUUUUAAGCAAGGAAGGAGAUAAAUUUGUUUCGUUUGAGCUCAAACUCUAAGGUGAGGGUAGAGAUGCACCAGCGAUGGCGCAGCGGAAUUUGUGAUCGUGCCACUGGGACUAGUUUUUACGCUUCCGCAUCAUGAAAUUUAGAGUCCUUAUUUUUCCCUUAAUGUUUAGGUUUACUAUUUGGAACUUAUUAUCAAGGAUUGUUUCUUUUAUAUACAUUUAAUAGCCUUUACGAAUUAUGGGUAUCCUAUUAUUGUUUUAACAAUUGCAUUUAAUAAAUGGCUUUUGAACUUCUCUUG